GAGAAUCAGUCUUUGGAAAAAAAGGGGCAGCCCCGUGCACUAAAGCUCCCGCUAUGUGCAUUGCCGGACCACAAGGGUUUAUUUUGCGUAGCCUUACCUUGCAUUUCUGCAAGAGGCUGUUUUCACGGCUUGAACUCGUGACUUGGUCACAUGACAGAAUCAAUCUUUGAGAAAGUAAAAUUCUUAGGUACUAAGUUCCAACAAGAAUUCCCUGAGGCACUCGAAUCAUUUGGUUAGUUUCAUUUUCGAAAAAAGAGAUUGGUACUAUUGAUUAACUCGGCAUGGGUGGGAUAAUCAACUAGAAUGUUUCUAUAUAAUCACGUACCUUUACACUUGCUCCCGGAAUAUGAUUCUUUAAAAUAAUCUGGGAUAGAAAAGAGAAAAUCAGUCUUGGUAAUGUAAAACUUUUAGGUAGGAAGUGCCAACAACAGUCUCUCAAAAACACUCUGUCAGUGCAUUUUCAAAAGGAGUUUGGUCUAUCACUUUCGAUGAACCCCCAAAGCAAGUGAGCAACGUCCUUGUUUUGAUUGGUCUCUGUUGGCAUUUCCUACCUAAGGAGUUUUUGUACUAGUAUAAUGUACUAUACAGAUUAGAUAAGACAUUGAUCACUGUGGUAAAUCUACCUACCAAUAAAUUUCUUUGUCCCACGCCGUUGUAUUUCCAAGAACUCCACCAGUGAUUCGUAGUUCUCCGGGAGAUUCCGGUUGUUUUUCUGAUAUAAGUCUAUUUUUCUUUCAGCUUUAUAUGUCUCUUUCUCUAGCUCUUUGACAGUUGUGCCUGGAUAAAAGAGCCCAGUAUUAGCUAUAUAACCUCCACAAACGAUGAACAUAAACCAUUAUGCAAAAGUAUUGGAUGUUUAUGGCUAGCAAAAAACUGUAAAUGUGUUGGACUGACACAAAGAAUUAAGAGACUUUUACACUACUGGUGUAUAUAAUUUAAAUCCACGAUAAGAAUGCUUAUCUAUGCCACUUUUUGACUGAAAAAGGCCAGACUUACAGUAGUAGAUAAUGCUAUCUAGGAAUCGAAAACGGUUGCCACUUCUGAAUACUUGAGGCAUCCUGGAAAGGAUGUGUAGAGGAGACAUGCCUUGUGUGUUGUAACGGUUGACGAGUGGCUUAUAGUAAUGUAUUAUCUGAAAAGCCAGUUCUGUUACAAGAGAAGUUGUUAAUACUACUAUCCCAUUCUACCAGAAGAAGAACUUAAUAUAUGGAUAUUUAGUCAAACUUCUCUAUAAUGACGUCGUUUGUUUCGAUUAUUUUUGGCUAAUAUAGCGAAAUGCUGUUAUAAAGAACAUAUAAUAUAACAUAAUAUGAAAAUCAGUUUCAAAAAGUAUUUGGUUGUUGGUGAAAUAUUGUUAUAGCGGAUGACAGUUGUAGAGAGGUCUAACUGUAUAAUCGAAUUGUCUGUUUAUGGCUCUUACCAAAGUACUCGCCAGAGAUGGCGGCGUGUAGAAUAUUAUCCCCGUCUUUCCUUCUACAAAGUUCGAUUGGACCUUCUUCGUUUUCGUUUUGACAACAUUUAUGUAGGUAGAGAAAAGCGUCUUGCUUGCCGCGAUAAGCAGUUAUGAAUAAGGGGGUUUCCCCUUUUGAAUUGGUCUCCCAGAUGAGUUCAGGUUCUUCUGAGUUUACCAAACACUCAAUAAUGGGGACACUCCCAAGUUCUGCUGCAAGGUGAAGAGGUGUGUUCCCUUUUUCAUUCUUCUGCUUUAAGAUAUGUUCUCGAUUUUUCUUUGGUAUGUUAGUAAUCAUAUCCUUUAUACAAAGAAGAUGAGGAUGAUGUAAAUAGGUGUCUCGAUCUGGAUGGUAAGAAGAAAUAGCUAAGUGAAGAGCAGUAUCUUCGGAUCUAGUGAGUUUGGUUGUCCGGAGAGGCUCGUUUUCCAUGUACAGUUUCUUCACUUUAGUCCACUUAUUCUCCAUAGCUGCAUUGAAUAUCUCAUCUUCAAGAUUCGUCUUUUCUCCCGACUGAUCUAUAGGCGUUACCGGUUCUUGCUCUAAUGGUUGUGGUUGAAUUUCUGAUUUAACUCUAUUGCUAGAGGGAGCUAAAGGGUCCAUUUGCACUAUAGUUGUUUCUGUAUAUUGUGUUGAUGCCACUCACAAGUCACUUAUGGCUUUAAUAUAUACUGCUAGGAGAGGCAUUUUGCUGAGAAAUAUAUUUCUGUACAAGCCUCUAUGCUGGUGCAUGUGUGAUGACUCUUCUAGUACUCAAAGUAUUAAAGAAUCUAAUGUUUCUGUACUGUGACUUUUAAGAUAGUUGCUAAUAAUCAUCCAUGAUAAGUGAGUUGAGUUUAUCUUAUACACUUCGACUAGAAGUAUAUAUUCAUAUUAUUAGUACUGUAAUCCUGAUGGCAUUGAACUUUUUUACGUGGUCGGUGAAUUUAAGUGGGACUCUAAGUGAAAUUAGUGAUCUGAAAAAUGGAAGUGUGGAUGAAACGACAUCAAAUGUAGGAUUGUUGCUUUACACGAUCUCCAUUUUAGUAGUCCUAGUGUUCGUCCCAACCCUUUCGCAGGGUUACCUUCCCUUUUAGCAAGGCAAAUAGCCUCUGACAGUAGGUUUUAGGUAAUCUGUAGUGUAUAGAUGUUACAUAUUUUUCGUGCAUAUAAGUUAAAUCCUUGCGUCUUCAAUCCGCUCCUUCGCGUGCAGGCUUGGCUUUGUCAAUGGUCAAGCACGUGGUAGGACAAAGGGUGGUAGUGAGGCUUGAAGCAUGACCUCAGCUUACGCUAAUACCAUGUUAAACUGUGUGACAUCUGAAGUAAAAGGUUGAACUAUUUGAGGCAAUGAGUUGUGUGUCUGACAAUCCUCACACCGUGAACCAUCUUCUUGGGUUGAGUUAGGUUAUUCACAUUUGCGUAUUUAGACUUGAAGCAUGACCUCAGCUACUCUAAUACCAUGAUAAAUUGUGCGACCAUCUGAGGUAAAAAGUUGAACUAUUUGAGGAAAUGAGUUGUGUCCCCGACAAUCCUCGCAACGUGAACCAUCUUCUUGGGUUGAGUUAGGCUAUUCACAUGUGCGUAUUUAGACUUGAUGCAUGACCUCAGCUACUCUAAUACCAUGUUAAAUUGUGCGACCAUCUGACUUAAAAGGUUGAACUAUCUGUGCAAAUGAGUUGUGUGUCCGACAAUCCUCACACUGUGAACUAGCUUCUCGGGUUGAGUUGGGCUAUUCACACAUGUGUAUUUCUUGGUUUACCUAAUGUUAGGCAUUUACGUUAUGUGUCAAUGCACCAGAUGUCCAGUCUUGGGCAUAUGAGGGGAGGAGGCGAGUGUUUUUGUCCCACAUUAACCGUCACCUUAAAGCGUUGAGGUCGAGUUAGAUCCAAGAUACAUUUUCUUCACACUUUUAUGUCAUGCAAAACACAAAGGGUAAGACCUCUUUAGUCAUUUGUUCCCUUCUUGCUGUUAUCACCAAGCAUUUCUCUUUUUCUUUUUGCCUUUAUUCUAUGUUUUUGUCAUGCAAAACACAAAGGGUAAGAAACUCUUUUAUGUUUUUGUCCUGCUUUUACCAUAUAUUUUUCUUGCAUUUCCUAUAAUUUAGACAUCAUAUGACUUAUUAGUAUUACUAAUUUAGACAUCAUAGUAUUAUAGUCUUGCAAAUGCUGGAAAUUCCAGGUGUUGCUUCCUACAACAGUUGAAUAGAGAGAGAUGUACCCGAAUAGUAAUUGGUUUCGUUGUUUAUUUUGGUAGUCGGUAUACAUAGAUUAUACACUAUAUGUAGUUAUACGCAUAUUAUACGUUUGUCAUCUAUGUCUAGUACUGUUUUGUAUUUUAUUUGGUACUAUAUAUUCUUUGCUCAAAUGUUAAAAAGUUAUUCUCCUCUAGUUUCAAUGUUGUCAAAUGUGUUUGUUAUGGUUGAAAAUAUUUUUCGAAAAAAAAUGAAUUUAGGUGUUAUUUGGAGUGAUAUUCUUUGGGAAAAAGCUUUGGUUAAGGUUCAAAUGAUAUAUUUGUGUAAAUUGGAUAGUUGUUUGAUGAAUUUUUAAGCAUUGAAGAUUUUGAGUAGUAAUAAUUUUGAAGUGUGUGUUGGAAGAGUGAUAUGUGUUUGGGUCAAAAUUAUCAGGUGUCAUGUGAAAGCUAGCAAAGCAAAUUUUGGAAAACGUCCCAAGACAGACGAGAAAUAUAAUAGAAGGGAUAUAGUAAUUUAAGGUGGUUCGUUCAAUUGAUCUGCAUCCACAAAAAAGAGAUGUGUAAUCCACUAUCUAAUAGAGAAUACAAAAUAUCAAGAAAAAUAACUUCAAAAAAUUCACUCUAGAAUAAAAAUAGGUUACACAAGUGGCAUCGUAAUACUUGUGUUUCACAAAUUUUUCCUCUAAAUAAGACUCUCAGAGCCCUUACGACUACAUCGUGGACGUUGUUAAGCUAGAACAAGAAAGGAGCCUCAAUUUAUAGAGUCAAAAACUUUUCUUACAAGAUCAAGGUUUAACCAAAUAUGAAAAAUCCUUUCCUACAAGAACAAGGUUUAAUCAAACAUGAAAAAUCCCUAUUUUACUUUCUCUGAAAGGAAAAUCCAAUUACUGUAAGAUAGUCGAGGAAAACACCCUAACGAUAUGAAGUUAAACAUCGAGAUAGUUAUGAAAGAAAAUAACUUCCGCCCAAAAUUGAGGGAAUAACAUGAUUUGUCCUUCCUGACCCUCUCUUAAGCCUUUCAACGAUCGUGUAGGUAGUUGGGUCGAUCGAGUGUCUUUAUUCAAGCGAAGCGACGGUACAGAAGAAGAAUGAAAUAAAUUGUGAGAGCCCCACUCGGGUCACUCAAGAAAAUUGUGAGAGCCCCACCCGGGUCACUCAAGAUCAAGAGUCUGGAUUCACUGUGUCAUUCUAAAAGAUGUGAAAUAGCUGUGUCGUACCUUUUUUUAGUCACUUAGUAAUAGAUUCGUAACCGUAUAAAUACCUCUGUCUAUGGUUGUAAAUCACAAAUCUAAGAUUUUCUUUAUAAAAAUUUCGUACUAGUCAAACACCCUAACAUAAAUUAAAACGAAAUGGAUAAAUUAACAGAAUCAUGGAUGCAUAGGUUAAUAUUAGUCUAAUGUCCUAUUUCUUCUCCUUUUUACAAUUCUUGAUGUGAAAGAAAAGAAUGAAAGACUUUGUUACGGUUUGGAAUUUGAUUGAUUUUCGGAGUUGAAGUUAAUUAGAUUAAUUUAAUAUUUUAAAAAUUUAGUUGUUCAAAAACUAUAAGUUGCAGUCUUUCUCAUAUUAAUACAAUUAAAAAAAAUAUCUUAAAAUAUUGGUUAAAGUUCAUACAGUUCGACUCUUAAUAAGCGAAAUGGGACAAGUUGAAAUGUAUGAAGGGAAAACUACUAAAAUCAAGUAUAUUAGGUAUUCUACUUGGUUUUAAUUGUUUGUAAGUUUUUUUUCUUAGUAAUAUUCACGUGAUUUGAUUCAUUUUUCAGAUUUAAAUUCAAGAUCCAAAUUUGGUGCAUAAAUAUAUUUACUUUGAAAAUAAUUGUUCUAUUUCUAAAUGUUCAUGCAAAGACUAAAUUACGGGAUCAACAGUGUUUAGCACCCUACUUAACUAGCUUUAGACUGGAAAACAAGGUAUAUGAAGUCAUGGAACUCUUAAAAAAAUGCAAGUUUAUUCAGGAUACAUAGAAAAAUUGAUGGCUCCGCCUCGCCUCCUCUCGAUGAAGGGAGACCUUUCUUGGAGUCAAAUCAUUUUUUGACGCAAAACAACCGAGUCUUUAUUUGGAAGCUAGAGUAGGAAACCGUUCAACACCUCCGCUCUUUUGAUGAUUUCUACCUGUUUCAAUCAUCUUCUUCUUUUUCUUCUGAUCUGAGCUAGUUGCUUCUGAGGAAUUGGUGGUAUAAAACACCUUAUAGCUGCGAAGUGGCAGCUUUUGGAUGUAUGACCUUAUAAGAUCAACAUAGAGAGGGAAUUGAUUAAAUGCAAAAAACACCACAGGUAUGCAUGUUGCUGCGUAUAUUGGAAAUGCUGCAUUCUUGAAAUUAUCCUGGAGGACAAAGAAAUGUGCAGCACAGAAUGAGACCAAGAUAGCAGUUAUCGAUGCAAAAAGCGAAGUUAAUCCAAGGAGCAACUUUCGCGGCAAAUCCUUCUCGAAAUCCUUGUGUUGGCACCGAGAUGUGAGGAUAGCUAAGAAAAACACCAGGGCCGUGACAGAGAAGCAAAGAGAAACAAGUGAUGCUAUAGAAAACACGUCAAAAGCAGGUUCAUGUUCUAAGUGUGGUUUGCCUUUAUCAUCGGCUCCGCCUGGGAUUGUGGCAGAUGUAGUGAAUGCAACUGUAGCAAUUAGUGCUGCUACGACAGAGAAUGACUCGGCGGUUUUGGUGAGCCAUUCGGUGCCCUCUACGAGUAACUUUUCAUGCGUCUCUUCGAAGAUCCGUCUUGGUGUCUGACCUUUCUUGUUAUAACGAACAUCUGAUUGUGGCAAAGUGUGCUUGACAUACUGCAGUACGAUAGGAAAAUUCCUUACAUGUUAGUGUUUUUAAGUUAAUCCCUUGUGAAAUAAAGAGAUGAUUGGUUGUUAAAAAUGUCUUACCUUGUACCACUUCCUUUCGCCUUGCAACUGUAGAGCUUUACCAGGGAUGCGCCACACCUCGAGAUUCUGAUACUUUGCAGCUAGGUGCACCGCAUUGUUUCCAUAUUUGUCCACCUGAUAAAACACGUAUUCUGGAUACUUUCCCCCUAUGAGCCAAUUAUAGACCAUUGUCUGCCUAUGCUCUACAGCCAAAAGCAGUAUGUUCUUCUCUUCGGAGUCUGUAUCUUGAAUGGCUAUUGGGAACUUUUUGAGUAUCCUCCUUACCAUCUCUACAAUACCCAUCUUUGAUGCCACUAAUAGCGGUGUCUCCUUGGUCGUGGGCAAUUCUGUAUUUAGAACUAUAGUCAUUCUAGUUGCUAUUAGCAAACUCAUAGCUUCUGUUAAGUUACAACUGCUUUGAAAAAGAAGAAAAUUGAUCUUGAUUUGGAAUAGUAGAGCAAGUUUUCAGCAUGUUGAUGUUAUAGAUCUAGAACGACGACGACGACAACUUGAGUAAUUAAAAUUGCAAAGUCUUGAUGACAUGGAAGAAAGUUUCCGUGCCACACAAGUAUGACUAGGGAAAAAAGACUCUUUACCGGACUUGGAAUCAUCUGUCUUAAUCUCAUCUGUGCUUGAAGUUUGUGAUUGCUUGAUCGCUGCAGUGUUACUAGGGGCGUCUUCCUCUGUAGUAUCAUCAACUAUUUCAGGAGGUGCGGGAGGAGGUGCUCCAAUUUGUUUAUAUCUGUCUCGACUAUACAGGUCUUCUGGCUUCUCCCCGGUAUUUUUAUAGAAUUUGUAACGUUCUUCUUUCUCAAUCAUCAACUUCAUAAUUUGAACUCCCGAUUUAUGUUUACUUUUCUUUUCCCUUAUUUUUUUAAUCCUUUGGAGUCCUGCAUGAAACAAGAUUUGAGUAUUCACAAUUAUUGUUAAUUUCCAAGCAAGGGGUGAAGCAGAAAAUAUAUCAGAAAGGGGUGGGAACUAUGCUGUUCGAAUGAUUAGUAAGUCUGAUUCUUUUUAGAAUUACGGUUGUUGCACUCAAUAGUUAAGAAAUGUAUGCAUGCUAAUCUAGAAAUGUCGCAAGAAUAAUUCUUACCAAUACCCAAUACAAGUAGUACAAUCUUCAUUAGACAUUUGAGAAACUCGAUAAUGAUGGCAUAAUUGGCUGGAAACAACGUCCCGUUUCCCUUCCCUUCAGCUGGAACUCAACAGAUCAGUUGUUAGCAGAAAUAUGUUGGAGAAUCGUGUACUCUUAAAUCAAUUUUAUGCACAUAGAAAAUGUUCACAUAACUUGGAAACGAAGGAGCGCAAUGCUUUUUUAAUGGAGAAUCAGUAUGGUGAUAUAUUGUGUCUUUUUGCUAGUAUAUUAUAGAAAGAAAAAAUCUUAAGUCUCUUACAGAUAGUGGAAAGAAGGUUCAACUUGGCUAGACUAUCAUCAAAAAUCAUAGUAAAAUUUGUAUUCAUAAUUGGAAGCUAAAGAAUAAUCUAAAACAGAACAAAUAUGAAGAGCCUUUCGAAAAAGAGAAGUAAAGAAAAUAUGUUUUUGGGGAAAAAAGCAUGUAAAGAAUUCUUGCUAUGAACAUAUGAAGAGCGAAGACGCUCGAGUAGGAGUAUAUAUACUCUUCUAGUACUAGUUUGUGUGCUUUAAUUAUGGUUUAUUUAGAAUGUGAUUGAGAUUUCAUCUUUUACGAUGAGUACAUCACUAGUCACUACACACAUUGAUGUCGUAAAGAGCUGCUAUUUAUUAUACUUGAGGUUUCUUAUAACAGAAUAAUUUACCAUAUCACACUUUUAGAAUGUACCUCAUUAUUUAUUUUUGAUACUUUCUGUGUGUGUGUAUAUACUUAGAGCCUGUUUGGAUCGACUUAUUUUUAGUGCUUUUAAGCCAAAAUAGCUUUUAAGCACUUUUGUAGUGUUUGACUAAAAUUCAGAAAGUGUUUUUCAACCAAAAAGGCAAAAGUAAGCCAAAAACCAUAAGUUAGAAUUCCUAACUCAUGAAUUUUGUCUUAUAAGCCAAAAGCUAUAAGCCCAUCCAAAUAGGCUUUGUGGAAUUAUAUCUAAUCAUCGCACGUGGAGGCAAUAUUUAGUUUCAACUGUGUUACAUAUACAAAUGUACGUGUUCAUCUUCAGUAGAAGGAUUCUUGCGAUCAUUUGGAUGGCCUUGGUGUUGAGAGAAAGAAAAUACGUUAGUACGAAUAAGAGUUAUCCUCAUGAUAAAGAUCAUGUACCAUAGAUUUCUUGCCUCUUAGUAACCUGCUUAAGUUGGCAUAACCUGAAAGGUUUAUACGUAGUUACAUACCUGGAAACUUCUUGUCUUGAUUCUCCGUAGUAACUGCAAUAGCAUCUGGAUAAAGAAAAGAAUCAGUCUUUGAAUGUGCAAAAUUCUUAGGUACAAAGUGCCAACAACACUGUCCUCAUGAGAUACGCAGAACUUUGGUUAGUUCAUUGUCGAAAAAAGAUUGGUGUACUUCUUAACUCGACAAGAAUGAGUUAAUAAAAUAGAAGGUUCCUGUGUAAUCAUGCAUACCUCUUCUUGAUAUCUGUGUGCAUGUUUUAAUGAAUUAUAUCUAAUUGUUAUAGUUUGAUGUAAUAUUUAGUUUCAACUGUGGUAUAUAUGCAUGCAUUCACCUUGAAUUCGGGGAUUCUCGGGAUCAUUUUGACGGUCACUUUGAUGACCUUGGUCUGUAGAAAAAGAAAAAUUAGUUAUUACUAGUCAGAGUUAUCCUCCUGAAAAGAUAUAUAUCAUAGUUUCUUGCCUCUUAAGAAAACCUAAGUCCACAUAACCUGAAAAGUUUAUUACAUAAUCACGUACCUUGAGACUUCAUCUCUUGAUUCAUGUUAGGUACUCCAGUUGCAUCUGGAUAGAAAAGAGAAUCAGUCUUUGGAAAAAAGGGGCAUCCCGGUACACUAAAGCUCCCGUAUGUGCAAGGCCGAGGAAGGGCCGGACCACAAGGGUCUAUAGUGCAGCCUUACCUUGCAGAAGGCUGUUUCCACGGCUUGAACUCGUAACCUCCUAGUCACAUGAAAGAAUCAAUCUUUGAGCAAGUAAAAUUUGUAGGUACUAAGUUCCAACGAGAGUUCCCUGAGGCACUCGAAUCAUUUGGUUAGUUCAUUUCGAAAAAAGAGAUCAGUACUAUUAGUUAACUCGGCAUGGGUGGAUUAAUCAACUAGAAUGUUUCUAUAUAAUCAUGUACCUUUACACUUGCUCCCGGAAUAUGAUUCUUUAAUAUAAUCUGGGAUAGGAAAGAGAAAAUCAGUCUUGGUAAUGUAAAACUUUUAGGUAGGAAGUGCCAACAACAGUCUCUCUCAAACACUCUGUCAGUGCAUUUUCAAAAGGAGUUUGGUCUAUCACUUUCGAUGAACCCCCAAAGCAAGUGAGCAACGUCCUUGUUUUGAUUGGUCUCUGUUGGCAUUUCCUACCU
rnacentral:lncRNA from 1 species